rnacentral:rRNA from 1 species
UACGUAGGGUGCGAGCGUUGUCCGGAAUUAUUGGGCGUAAAGGGCUCGUAGGCGGCUUGUUGCGUCUGCUGUGAAAGCUCGGGGCUUAACUCCGGGUGUGCAGUGGAUACGGGCAGGCUAGAGUCCGGUAGAGGAGACUGGAAUUCCUGGUGUAGCGGUGAAAUGCGCAGAUAUCAGGAGGAACACCGGUGGCGAAGGCGACUUCCUGGUCCUAUACUGACGCUGAGACGCGAGAGCGUGGGGAGCGAACAGGAUUAGAUA